UAGAGUUUGAUCCUGGCUCAGAUUGAACGCUGGCGGCAGGCCUAACACAUGCAAGUCGAGCGGAAACGACACUAACAAUCCUUCGGGUGCGUUAAUGGACGUCGAGCGGCGGACGGGUGAGUAAUGCCUAGGAAAUUGCCUUGAUGUGGGGGAUAACCAUUGGAAACGAUGGCUAAUACCGCAUAAUGCCUACGGGCCAAAGAGGGGGACCUUCGGGCCUCUCGCGUCAAGAUAUGCCUAGGUGGGAUUAGCUAGUUGGUGAGGUAAUGGCUCACCAAGGCGACGAUCCCUAGCUGGUCUGAGAGGAUGAUCAGCCACACUGGAACUGAGACACGGUCCAGACUCCUACGGGAGGCAGCAGUGGGGAAUAUUGCACAAUGGGCGAAAGCCUGAUGCAGCCAUGCCGCGCGUAUGAAGAAGGCCUUCGGGUUGUAAAGUACUUUCAGUUGUGAGGAAGGGGGUAGCGUUAAUAGCGCUAUCUCUUGACGUUAGCAACAGAAGAAGCACCGGCUAACUCCGUGCCAGCAGCCGCGGUAAUACGGAGGGUGCGAGCGUUAAUCGGAAUUACUGGGCGUAAAGCGCAUGCAGGUGGUUCAUUAAGUCAGAUGUGAAAGCCCGGGGCUCAACCUCGGAACUGCAUUUGAAACUGGUGAACUAGAGUACUGUAGAGGGGGGUAGAAUUUCA
rnacentral:rRNA from 1 species